rnacentral:rRNA from 1 species
UACAGAGGGGGCAAGCGUUAUUCGGAAUUAUUGGGCGUAAAGGGCGCGUAGGCGGCCUGGCAAGUGGAUGGUGAAAUCCCUCGGCUUAACCGAGGAACUGCCUGUCAGACUGGAAGGCUUGAGACCGGGAGAGGUGAGUGGAAUUCCCAGUGUAGCGGUGAAAUGCGUAGAUAUUGGGAGGAACACCAGUGGCGAAGGCGGCUCACUGGACCGGAACUGACGCUGAGGCGCGAAAGCGUGGGGAGCAAACAGG